rnacentral:rRNA from 1 species
GACGUAGGGCGCGAGCGUUGUCCGGAUUUAUUGGGCGUAAAGAGCUCGUAGGCGGCUUGUCGCGUCGUCCGUGAAAACUUGGGGCUCAACCCCAAGCUUGCGGUCGAUACGGGCAGGCUAGAGUUCGGUAGGGGAGACUGGAAUUCCUGGUGUAGCGGUGAAAUGCGCAGAUAUCAGGAGGAACACCGGUGGCGAAGGCGGCUACCUGGACAGGUACUGACGCUGAUGCGCGAAAGCCAGGGGAGCAAACAGG